rnacentral:rRNA from 1 species
AUUUGUUACACAAUAGAAUGCCUGAUCUUGUCAGAUUUCAGAAGCUAAGCAGGGUUGGGUCUGGGUAGUAUGUGGAUGGGAGACCACUGAUAAUAUCAGGUGCCACAGAGG